UAGCACAGCUAUGUACUAUGUCAGGCUUUCAAAUUUCGAGCUCUGCGCAAUGUGUACAUAUAUUGUGAAUCCUUUCAGCCUAGGUGGCUACUCUUCCAGAGAUGGCCAUAUAUCCGCAGCUGGAUGAGUUAUGUCCUAUGCAUGCAUGUGCAACAAGUUAGGUUUUUACAAUACAUCGCAGAAGUAAAAUUAAUGAUCAGGCUAGGAAAUUAGGAGGAACAUAAGACCCAGAUUUACGAGUACAAAUUCAAGAGUAUCCAGAGGUUAGGAUGAAGAUGACCAUGGUCAUUGAUUACGGUUCUAAACCUAACUGACAAUUUUUAUAUGUUAAAUUUUGAAGAGCAAGGCGACACCCGAUCAACUACUGUGGAGGCUGCAGUGACUGAAUACUGCUAGGACCAUGCAACACCGGGUCCAACCAGCUAUUUUAGUUCAACAGUUUUAUUUCACUUGUAAGCAAGAGGAUAUUCA